rnacentral:lncRNA from 1 species
AUAAGGACAACCCCAAAGAAGAAGCUAGACCAGCCAGCGACAGACGAAGUUUCAUUAUUACAUGGGUAUGGGAAGAGCGAAGAGUCACAAGUGAGACACCACGUCUUAAACCAAAACUUUAAAGACAUUAGUUUCAUGGGUCUUUCCUAUUUAUAAACUCUUUCAUUCCUCCAUGCAUAUCCAACGUGAGACUUCACACUUGAAUAAACC